UACAGAGGGUGCAAGCGUUGUUCGGAAUUAUUGGGCGUAAAGGGCUCGUAGGCGGUUUGUCGCGUCUGCUGUGAAAACCUAAGGCUCAACCUUGGGCUUGCAGUGGGUACGGGCAGACUAGAGUGCGGUAGGGGUGACUGGAAUUCCUGGUGUAGCGGUGAAAUGCGCAGAUAUCAGGAGGAACACCGGUGGCGAAGGCGGGUCUCUGGGCCGAUACUGACGCUGAGGAGCGAAAGCGUGGGGAGCGAACAGG
rnacentral:rRNA from 1 species